UUAAUAUAUGCACAUAAACAUCGAAAAUUUACCCUAUAUAUACACUUUAAUUUUUUGUCGAGGGUGUUCGGGUGAACACCCUCGAUAUCACAUAGAUCCGCCCCUGCUUACAAAACUGAUUCUUUUCUGCGAUUCUGGAUUAUUUCUGCGUUAUUCUUUCCCUCCACUCUCUCUGAAAUGUUCUUCCUUCUCUAUCUUUUUUUGUUCUAUUGUUCUCUUGCUUCACUUUUUUCCAAUAUCUUGAAUUCCUCUAUAUUCUUUCCUCAUUGCCAUCUCCAUUAUAUUUUUCAUGUUCCAGUUACUUGCCUUUGAUUUGUUUAAUUCUGUCUGUGUUUCCGUUAUAACAGUGAAGAGGAACUACGUCAUCAAUGGUACCCUACUUAACUAUGAGAAAAAAAGGGGCUGCUUUCUUUGACGUCCAUAAAUCUUUCGACAAAAUGCUGUACAGAGAGACCACGGCUUGAGAAAAGAGUGUUUUUUUCUCAACAGAUGCAGGUCUGCCUUUUUCCCACUGUGUUUUACUUCUGGCGCUUUAGAAUAUUGAUGGAGAUUGUAAGGGAACAAGGAUAAGGAAGGCGCCUCUGUUCUGUCUCUACCGCUGCUAAAAAUAGAGUUAUGAAGUUUGAUGGAGGCAGGAAAAUGGAGAUGGCAAACCAACGACUCUGACAAGAGAUGCUUCAGAUCUGAUUUUGGUUUUAACGCCGGCAAUGUUGCACUACAUAGUUAUGCAAGUCUGUUCACAUAUUUAAGACGGUCUAUUUUUGAGCACUUGAGUAUUUCACAAAUGUCGAGAUUGAAGAGCUCGGCUAAUGGUACAAAUAUUGUUCGAUCAUAUAUUCGACAAGAUUACAUAAACUUUAUUGUAAUAUGCCUGUGGUGUAGAGAGUGUGUUUCUACUCUUAAGAAUACAUAACGUGAUUCAAAAAUUACAUAAUGUUUACAUGUGUAAGUGGUGUAUGAAGAAAAAGAAGAACAUAUAUGUAUUCUCUUUUCUCAA